rnacentral:rRNA from 1 species
AUACCCUUAGGUAAGGAAUAAUGUCUGGAAACGGACACUAAUACCUUAUAAUGACUCCGGUCCAAAGAUUUAUCGCCUAGGGAUUAGCCCGCGUCUGAUUAGUUUGUUGGUGAGGUAAUGGCUCACCAAGACGAUGAUCAGUAGGGGGUCUGAGAGGAUGAUCCCCCACACUGGUACUGAGACACGGACCAGACUCCUACGGGAGGCAGCAGUGAGGAAUAUUGGACAAUGGGGGCAACCCUGAUCCAGCCAUGCCGCGUGAGUGAAGAAGGCCUUAGGGUUGUAAAGCUCUUUCAAUAGUGAAGAUAAUGACGGUAACUAUAGAAGAAGCCCCGGCUAAAUUCGUGCCAGCAGCCGCGGUAAUACGAAUGGGGCAAGCGUUGUUCGGAAUCACUGGGCUUAAAGCGUGCGU